rnacentral:rRNA from 1 species
GGGUGUGAUCAUUUCUGCACAAAGGGUGUGAUCCCAUAAGAACUUUUUAGUUAAGUGGAUUUAGGUGAGAGUAGUACUAAGUUGAGUGACCACUUAGGAAGUUAUUGUGUUGCACAUU